AACGAACGCUGGCGGCAUGCCUAACACAUGCAAGUCGAACGAGACCUUCGGGUCUAGUGGCGCACGGGUGCGUAACGCGUGGGAACCUGCCUUUAGGUUCGGAAUAACUCAGAGAAAUUUGAGCUAAUACCGGAUGAUGUCUUCGGACCAAAGAUUUAUCGCCUUUAGAUGGGCCCGCGUUGGAUUAGCUAGUUGGUGGGGUAAAGGCCUACCAAGGCGACGAUCCAUAGCUGGUCUGAGAGGAUGAUCGGCCACACUGGGACUGAGACACGGCCCAGACUGCUACGGGAGGGAGUAGGGGGGAAUAGUGCAGAAUGGGAGGCAGGGUGAUUAAGCAAAGCGGUGGGCGGGAAGAAGGCAUUGGGGGUGUAAAGCGAGUGCGACGGUCAAGAAGCGUGAGGGACGGGAGUGGGUAAAGAAGAAAGGGCUAACUACGUG
rnacentral:rRNA from 1 species